rnacentral:rRNA from 1 species
GACGAACGCUGGCGGCGUGCCUAACACAUGCAAGUCGAACGGAGCACUUCGGUGCUUAGUGGCGAACGGGUGAGUAACGCGUGAGAAACCUGCCUUUCAGUGGGGGACAACAGUUGGAAACGACUGCUAAUACCGCAUAAUGUCAUUUGGGGGCAUCCUCGAAUGACCAAAGAUUUAUUGCUGAAAGAUGGUCUCGCGUCUGAUUAGCUAGAUGGCGGGGUAACGGCCCACCAUGGCGACGAUCAGUAGCCGGUCUGAGAGGAGGAACGGCCACAUUGGGACUGAGAUACGGCCCAGACUCCUACGGGAGGCAGCAGUGGGGAAUAUUGGGCAAUGGGGGAAACCCUGACCCAGCAACGCCGCGUGAAGGAAGAAGGCCUUCGGGUUGUAAACUUCUUUUACCAGGGACGAACACAAUGACGGUACCUGGAGAAAAAGCAACGGCUAACUACGUGCCAGCAGCCGCAGUAAAAC